UUACAUUAAUGUAGUUUUAGUGAAUUAUUAUUGAUAUGGUGUUCUAAAUUUAGCUUGUUUGACAUAUAACUGUAUUUGACUUUGGUAAAAUAUUAUAAACAUGUGCCUGUACAGAGUUAUCACAACAAAAUAGCAAUAGCUCCUGAAAUGAUUAUGUUAGUGUAUCCCUACUCGAGAAGGGUAUGAUUUUAUCCAAAUUAAUUGCACAGAGAAAUGCUAAUUUAAUUCUUUAUAGUACGUUUGCUUCAUAAGUUCCUUGCUCCAUUCCAGCUAGAAUGUAAAACAGAACUUAUGUAUUAUGGGUUAAGGUCUCCGUGCUAUAUCCGAUAGUUUCCCAUAAGAAGAAAAACAUGGAGGGAUAACUCUAUUGAUGCAUAUAGAAAGAUCAAUAAAAAGGAGUCAAAUUCAAAUCUUAUGUUGAAGGUCAUUCAAAUUUAUGUGUUAAAAUCAAGGUAAAAUUUUGUUUAACUCAUCUUGACUUUUAUUUCAUUGAUAGAUAUUCAUCUUGCCUUGUUACAUAACCGAAUCAGCUCACCGCCUAUAAUAUCAAAGAAAACCCCUUCAAAGAGUGCAUGAAACAGCUCCUCACAAUUGUUGACAUACUUUCUUUUCCUACCUUUAGAUAAUUUAGAUUUCUUUUGUACAUUGGGUUGCGGGGGUGGGGAUGUUUCCUGGAAUUUAGUUAGCUUCUAUGAAUUUGUAUGCACAAACAGAAAAACGGGCAUAGGGAUGCAAAUGAAUCGAUCUCAAGCCGAACUUGCCCAUGUUCAAGUUCUGAUCGCUUAGCAAACAAGCUUUAAAUUUUGUGUUCUAGUGUGGAUGGUUUUCCAAAUGAAAGCCCAAGUCAAGCUUGCACAAGCCCGAACCCAAUCUGUACUUGAGACAUACGCAAUUAAGUUCUGCUUAGUAACAUUUAUAAUCAUGUAAACAUAAAAGGUGAACAUGUUAGGUUUCAAGCUAUUCUCACUCCAUAAAUGUUGGUAGACCUGGCAAACAUGGCCCAAGCUCGCGGGCCGGGCUAUGGGCUGCAGUUUUUUAGCCCAAUAAAAUCUUGGUCUUUUUGGCCCGUCCCGGCCCGUGGCCCGCGACUUCUUUUCUUUUUAAAAUAAAAUGUUGCUACUUGUGGGUUGUGAGGCUUGAACACAAGACUUGUAAGUAAAUAAAUAAGAGUUCAAACCAACUGAGCUACAACUAUUUGUUUUUAAUGCAAUCUUCAAUAUAUUUUUUCUUUACUUUUAUUCAAAUUUUACUAUUCUUAAAAAGUAAAACCUAAAUUGUGCCUAAUUUAUAAUAUUAUCAUCAAUACAACUACGUCAUUAUCAUCAAUAAUUUAUAAUAUUAUCAUCAAUACAACUACUACAACUUAAUGAGUGCACCCAAAAUGUUCG
rnacentral:lncRNA from 1 species